rnacentral:rRNA from 1 species
AUUGAACGCUGGCGGCAUGCCUUACACAUGCAAGUCGAACGGUAACAGGUCUUCGGAUGCUGACGAGUGGCGAACGGGUGAGUAAUACAUCGGAACGUGCCUAGUAGUGGGGGAUAACUACUCGAAAGAGUGGCUAAUACCGCAUGAGAUCUACGGAUGAAAGCAGGGGAUCGCAAGACCUUGUGCUACUAGAGCGGCCGAUGGCAGAUUAGGUAGUUGGUGGGAUAAAAACUUACCAAGCCGACGAUCUGUAGCUGGUCUAAGAGGACGAUCAGCCACACUGGGACUGAGACACGGCCCAGACUCCUACGUGAGGCAGCAGUGGGGAAUUUUGGACAAUGGGCGAAAGCCUGAUCCAGCAAUGCCGCGUGCAGGAUGAAGGCCUUAGGGUUGUAAACUGCUUUUGUACGGAACGAAAAGCCCCGGGUUAAUACCCUGGGGUCAUGACGGUACCGUAAGAAUAAGCACCGGCUAACUACGUGCCAGCAGCCGCGGUAA